GACCAGACUCCUACGGGAGGCAGCAGUGGGGGAUAUUGCACAAUGGGGGAAACCCUGAUGCAGCGACGCCGCGUGGGUGAAGAAGCGCCUCGGCGCGUAAAGCCCUGUCAGCAGGGAAGAAAAUGACGGUACCUGAAGAAGAAGCCCCGGCUAACUACGUGCCAGCAGCCGCGGUAAUACGUAGGGGGCAAGCGUUAUCCGGAUUUACUGGGUGUAAAGGGGGCGCAGACGGCAGCGCAAGCCAGGAGUGAAAGCCCGGGGCCCAACCCCGGGACUGCUCUUGGAACUGCGCGGCUGGAGUGCAGGAGGGGCAGGCGGAAUUCCUGGUGUAGCGGUGAAAUGCGUAGAUAUAUGGAGGAACACCGGUGGCGAAAGCGGCUCUCUGGCCUGUAACUGACACUGAGGAUCGAAAGCGUGGGGAGCAAACAGGAUUAGAUACCCCAGUA
rnacentral:rRNA from 1 species